AUUGAACGCUGGCGGCGUGCUUAACACAUGCAAGUCGUGCGGUAACAGGCGUAGCAAUACGUGCUGACGAGCGGCGAACGGGUGCGUAAUACAUGGGAAUCUGCCCUUUAGUGGGGAAUAACCCGGCGAAAGCCGGGCUAAUGCCGCAUAAGAUCUUCGGAUGAAAGCGGGGGAGUCGUAAGACCUCGCGCUGAUGGAUGAGCCCACUGUCGGAUUAGCUAGUUGGUGAGGUAACGGCUCACCAAGGCGACGAUCCGUAGCUGGUCUGAGAGGACGGCCAGCCACACUGGGACUGAGACACGGCCCACGACUCCUACGGGAGGCAGCAGUGGGGAAUAUUGGACAAUGGGCGAAAGCCUGAUCCAGCGACGCCGCGUGUGUGAAGAAGGCCUGCGGGUUGUAAAG
rnacentral:rRNA from 1 species